UACAGAGGUCUCAAGCGUUGUUCGGAUUCAUUGGGCGUAAAGAGCGUGUAGGCGGCCAGGUAGGUCGGUUGUGAAAACUGGAGGCUCAACCUUCAGAGGUCGACCGAAACCAUCUGGCUAGAGUCCGGGAGAGGAGAGUGGAAUUCCUGGUGUAGCGGUGAAAUGCGCAGAUAUCAGGAAGAACACCCGUGGCGAAAGCGGCUCUCUGGAACGGUACUGACGCUGAGGCGCGAAAGCGUGGGGAGCAAACAGG
rnacentral:rRNA from 1 species